AGGGAUGUAGCGCAGCUUGGUAGCGCCUUUGUUCUGGGUACAAAAUGUCACGGGUUCAAAUCCUAUCAUUCCUA
rnacentral:tRNA from 1 species